rnacentral:rRNA from 1 species
CAGUCGCCGCGGUAAUACGUAGGGUGCAAGCGUUAAUCGGAAUUACUGGGCGUAAAGCGUGCGCAGGCGGUUUGUUAAGACAGAUGUGAAAUCCCCGGGCUCAACCUGGGAACUGCAUUUGUGACUGGCAAGCUAGAGUGUGGCAGAGGGGGGUGGAAUUCCGCGUGUAGCAGUGAAAUGCGUAGAGAUCUGGAGGAAUACCGGUGGCGAAGGCGGCCCCCUGGACAAAGACUGACGCUCAGGUGCGAAAGCGUGGGGAGCAAACAGGAUUAGAUACCCCUGUAGUCCCUGUCUCUUAUAA